rnacentral:rRNA from 1 species
UGAAUAUGGGGGGACCAUCCUCCAAGGCUAAAUACUCCUGACUGACCGAUAGUGAACCAGUACCGUGAGGGAAAGGCGAAAAGAACCCCUGUGAGGGGAGUGAAAUAGAACCUGAAACCGUGUACGUACAAGCAGUAGGAGCACCUUCGUGGUGUGACUGCGUACCUUUUGUAUAAUGGGUCAGCGACUUAUAUUCAGUGGCAAGGUUAACCGUAUAGGGGAGCCGUAGCGAAAGCGAGUCUUAACUGGGCGCUCAGUCUCUGGAUAUAGACCCGAAACCGGGUGAUCUAGCCAUGGGCAGGUUGAAGGUUGAGUAACAUCAACUGGAGGACCGAACCGACUAAUGUUGAAAAAUUAGCGGAUGACUUGUGGCUAGGGGUGAAAGGCCAAUCAAACUCGGAGAUAGCUGGUUCUCCCCGAAAGCUAUUUAGGUAGCGCCUCGGACGAAUACUACUGGGGGUAGAGCACUGUUAAGGCUAGGGGGUCAUCCCGACUUACCAACCCUUUGCAAACUCCGAAUACCAGUAAGUACUAUCCGGGAGACACACGGCGGGUGCUAACGUCCGUCGUGGAGAGGGAAACAACCCAGACCGCCAGCUAAGGUCCCAAAGUAUUGCUAAGUGGGAAACGAUGUGGGAAGGCUCAGACAGCUAGGAUGUUGGCUUAGAAGCAGCCAUCAUUUAAAGAAAGCGUAAUAGCUCACUAGUCGAGUCGGCCUGCGCGGAAGAUGUAACGGGGCUAAGCAAUACACCGAAGCUGCGGCAAUGUCUUUUAGACAUUGGGUAGGGGAGCGUUCUGUAAGCCGUUGAAGGUGAAUCGUAAGGUUUGCUGGAGGUAUCAGAAGUGCGAAUGCUGACAUGAGUAACGACAAAGGGGGUGAAAAACCUCCUCGCCGGAAGACCAAGGGUUCCUGUCCAACGUUAAUCGGGGCAGGGUGAGUCGACCCCUAAGGUGAGGCCGAAAGGCGUAAUCGAUGGGAAACGGGUUAAUAUUCCCGUACUUCUGACUAUUGCGAUGGGGGGACGGAGAAGGCUAGGUGGGCCAGGCGACGGUUGUCCUGGUUCAAGUGCGUAGGCUUGAGAGUUAGGUAAAUCCGGCUCUCUCUAAGGCUGAGACACGACGUCGAGCUACUACGGUAGUGAAGUCAUUGAUGCCAUGCUUCCAGGAAAAGCCUCUAAGCUUCAGAUAGUCAGGAAUCGUACCCCAAACCGACACAGGUGGUCGGGUAGAGAAUACCAAGGCGCUUGAGAGAACUCGGGUGAAGGAACUAGGCAAAAUGGUACCGUAACUUCGGGAGAAGGUACGCUCUUGAUGGUGAAGUCCCUCGCGGAUGGAGCUGACGAGAGUCGCAGAUACCAGGUGGCUGCAACUGUUUAUUAAAAACACAGCACUGUGCAAAAUCGCAAGAUGACGUAUACGGUGUGACGCCUGCCCGGUGCCGGAAGGUUAAUUGAUGGGGUUAGCGCAAGCGAAGCUCUUGAUCGAAGCCCCGGUAAACGGCGGCC